rnacentral:tRNA from 1 species
CCGUGUACCCGUAGAUUGACAAAAAGACCCUAUGCAGCUUUACUAUAACUUUACUCUGAAUUAAUAAAUUAU